AUUUUUAGCCCUAACCCUUACCACUAAAAGACUAAAAGUUAUGUCCUUCAAAUUUAAAGGACUUGGCGGUGAUUUAGUCCAGUUGGAGGAACCUGUUUUUUAAACGAUAAACCACGCAAAAUCUUACCUUCUUUUAAAGUUUGUAUACCGUCAUUAUUAGAUAAUUCUGAUAAGAAAAAUAAUUAUUUCAAUAAGCAAUUUGCCUUAGUAUAUUAGAUCAAGGUGCAGCCUAUAAGAAGGUUUAUAUGGGUUACAAUGAAACUUAUUCACACGAAUGAAUAAUUUAAACAUUAUUUUGAAGGAGGAUUCAAUAGUAAAAUCGGUUUAAUAAGCCAAUUUGAUAAAGGAUCUAAAUUGAGUACAUAUCGCCCGUCACUUUCAUUUCAAGAUGAAAUAAGUCGUAACAUAG
rnacentral:rRNA from 1 species